rnacentral:rRNA from 1 species
GACGUAGGGCGCGAGCGUUGUCCGGAUUUAUUGGGCGUAAAGAGCUCGUAGGCGGUUGAGUAAGUCGGGUGUGAAAACUCUGGGCUUAACCCAGAGCCGCCACCCGAUACUGCUCUGACUUGAGUUCGGUAGGGGAGCAGGGAAUUCCUAGUGUAGCGGUGAAAUGCGCAGAUAUUAGGAGGAACACCGGUGGCGAAGGCGCUGCUCUGGGCCGAUACUGACGCUGAGGAGCGAAAGCGUGGGUAGCAAACAGG